GUUCGACGUCCUACGUGACUGCCCUCGGCUCCAUGGGACAGUCGCUCGGCGAGGCCAGAAAGCCUCUUCAGCUCGACACCCCCCUUUAGCCCCCACCUCCAUCUCCAGAGGAAUCUGUUUUCUAACGACUCGGGGAGGUUGGGCCAAAGAUUUGAACUCCAUUUUCUUCCUAACGCAAUUAUUAAAUUUGAGUACUUACUUUGUUUGAUCAAGUUCUCUCUACCUCGGAGCAACUGGCUUCUUUAUGACCUGGGUAGAGCCUUUGUACCGAGCUUCUGGGAUAUUUUCUUUCUUUCCUCUCCGAACCAUGGCCAAUCUUGGUGAGUGGGGAGUUUCAUGCUGGUGAAAUCAUUCGGCACCAAAGGUAGAACACUUUCUAGAAAACGACAUCAGCACUUGGCCAGAGUCCAAGCCGGAGCGAAGAAAAUGAUAUUAAAGAGAACAAUAAACACUAAUGCAAUUGGAAUAGCAAACAAUAAACCACAAUAAUCCAUGCUUCA